AGCGUGCUGGUGCAAUUGGCAGACACUCCGGGCUUAGACCCCGGCCGUUGAGGGUUCGAAUCCCUCGCACGCUA
rnacentral:tRNA from 1 species